UUAUUUUUGUGUUUUUAUACAUUAAAAAGUAAAUGCUUACGUGCAAACACUCGUAGAACAGUAGUAGGAAGGGAGUGAAAGGAUGAAAGGAGUACAGAUAAGACAUAGGGAUGAACGUCAUGUACAUAUAACAAAUAAAUUCCGGGAAAGAGAAGGAACAGACUGAUUUAGGAGAGACAGCUCAGGUGGGGGCUAUCUGCUCCUGGAACAAGACAUACAUGGUCUUAAGUGUCAUUUUAAGCAUUUCCUGAGUCCAAGUUAGCCAAUUUUAAUAUCGGUUAUCUAAUACUACACCUAUAAGCUUGAACCUUGGAAUCAAAGUAAAUUCUUUCACAAUCCCCUCUUUUGAUCUAAGGGUCACCCAAAUGUCCAAGGUAUUUCCACGCCUGCUAGCCAAAGCCUGUGGGACUUUCAUUAUUUCUUCACCACGGUUCCCUUGGACCGAGAGACCACCAGAAUCAGCUAUGGAGAGUUUCCUCAUUUGUUAUGCAUCGUAAAAACCUUCCAAAGUUGGAGCUGGAAGGUAAGUUAAGGUAGGACUAACAGUAGAUUUGUUUUAACAUAUAGAGGUUAGUAGACAUGAGAAGAACUUAAAGGUUAGAAAACUGGCCAUAAUAACAAAUACAGCUAAUAGCAAAAAUAACAAAAUUUUCUUAAUUAGCAAAGUCAGCCAUGUUCCUAGCCCAAAUGUACAUUACCAAUCCCAAAAGAAGCCAGUAUCCUUUUUGAUAUCCUGUACUAAGUCAUGUAAAUCUUUUAUAUGUUUAUGGAUCAUAGUGCCGUGGUCAGAUAGGUUAAAUCAGCACAUACCUUCAAUAGCUUCACAGCCUAAGUCAUGUUUCAUUAGUAAGUAGUCAAUUGCUGCUCUAUUCUCAAGGAUUGCCUUCUUAUUUGCAUGAGUGUCCAUAAGUAGCUCUUCUAGGGCCUGGGAAGUGGCAUUUAAACCCUUUGCAAGGGAACAGGCUACAGCAUUAAUUACUCGGGUAUUAUACAGUGCUAAGCCUGGG